rnacentral:rRNA from 3 species
AAAUUGAAGAGUUUGAUCAUGGCUCAGAUUGAACGCUGGCGGCAGGCCUAACACAUGCAAGUCGAGCGGUAGCACAGAGAGCUUGCUCUCGGGUGACGAGCGGCGGACGGGUGAGUAAUGUCUGGGAAACUGCCU